rnacentral:rRNA from 1 species
UACGGGGGGAGCAAGCGUUGUUCGGAUUUACUGGGCGUAAAGGGCGCGUAGGCGGUCAGCACAAGUCAGUUGUGAAAUCUCCGGGCUUAACUCGGAAAGGUCAACUGAUACUGUGCGACUAGAGUGCAGAAGGGGCAACUGGAAUUCUCGGUGUAGCGGUGAAAUGCGUAGAUAUCGAGAGGAACACCUGCGGCGAAGGCGGGUUGCUGGGCUGACACUGACGCUGAUGCGGGAAAGCCAGGGGAGCGAACGGG